GGAAUAUUGCACAAUGGGCGCAAGCCUGAUGCAGCGACGCCGCGUGGGUGAUGAAGGUUUUCGGAUCGUAAAGCCCUUUUCUGCGUGACGAGGAAGGACGGUAGCGCCGGAAUCAGUGUCGGCUCACUACGUGCCAGCAGCCGCGGUAAAACGUAGGACACAAGCGUUAUCCGGAGUUACUGGGCGUAAAGGGCGUGCAGGCGGUUUCUUAAGUCAGGCGUGAAACCAUUCGGCUAAACCGGGUGUAGUCGUCUGAGACUGGGAGACUAGAGUGUGGUAGAGGCGUGUAGAAUUCCGGGUGUAGUGGUGAAAUGCGUAGAUAUCCGGAGGAAUACCAGUGGCGAAGGCGGCACGCUGGGCCAUUACUGACGCUAAGACGCGAAAGCAUGGGUAGCGAAC
rnacentral:rRNA from 1 species